rnacentral:misc_RNA from 1 species
GAGACAUUCCUCAAUUAGUAGCAUGCAUUUAAUGGCAUAGAACCUUUAAUUAAAUAAAAAAAAAUCCCCCUCUUUUUGAGAGCACAACUAGAUUUUCAUUUUGCUUCCCUCUUCACUCUUCCCUUGGAUUCCAUGAUAAGCUAUAAGCUUACAGGGUAACAAGAUAUUUUCUUAAGUUAUAAUUACAUCAACACCAUGAGGCAUGAGGAAUCGUAAGAAAUGCCAGAGGUCACUUCA